UAGGAUCCGCGUACACUCUUAGUCCGGUCCUGGAUAAUAGCCUGGCUAGAACCGGCACCCUUCGACGUACUGCUUAAUAUAACGGCUAUGGGCAGCCCGACAAAGGGAGAUAUACGUGACACUCUUCAAGCGGCCUCCAAACCAACUAGUACUGCCUAUAUGCGCUCGUUGUUACGCGGCCGCUGUCCGUAUACGGCCCCUCACACCGAUGUUCGUGCGCGAUGCGUGACGGAAUGCGCCGAAGCGGCCGAAGCAUGCCGGAGCGCCGUAAACAAACCCACCGCGCACGCGCGAAGGAAAAGAAAAAAUAUAUACAAGAGAGAAGAAGUUUCGGAUUGACAUCGGAGGAGUCGCCGAGCCGCGCGGACGCGCCAUGGCGAAGCUCCCGUUCUGCGGACUUUUCGUGCAAACUGGUUGCAAAGAUUGGAACUGUGUUGGCGGCGCCCUUCGCGUGCGCAGCAGGGCGAUAUGUUUUCACCAGUGGACACGAAAGGUGUGUUGCGAGGCCAUUGCAAUGCCCCGCAAUGUGAGCGCGACGGAUUUUGCCGUUCCGCGAACAACGUACCUGCUGCACCAUUCCAGGCCGCUUGGUGCUCAUACUGUGGGCACAGCCCAGUACAACAUGCUCGAAUUGGGACAACCCAGGAUGUGUAUUUCUCAGCACCCAGUCAACUGCCAGAAGUGACUCAUACACAGGCCACCAGGUCAACCCAGGACAUGGGUUUCUCAGCACCCAGUCAGAAGUAACUCAACCACAGGCCACCAGUGGCACUCAGCUGUACCACUGCACUGCUGCUGAAAUUGCCAGCACCAGCGGCUUUGUAACAGCUGUUUCACAGCAUCUCGGAGACAAUGCCUACGAAAUUAUUGGCCCUGAUGACGAGAGCCCUCAAGGGGCAAACGACAUCUCUGUUGCAGAAGUGAGCCCGAUACCACCUUAAGUUACCUUGACAGAUGACACGGCUGCAAUAGAUACAGAGACUGCCGUGUCUACUGCAGCUGCAACAGUGUACGAGGCAAGCAGCAGCACGUCAGCAUCAGCAGUAGUGUCAGAAGGAACCGAACCAGGCCUGGUAGGGCAACAUGUGUGCUACCACUGUGA